AGGCCCAGAGAGAGGCAGGGUCUGAUCCCCAGCCUCCGUGGAAGCUGUUGAUCAGCCGUUGCCUCUCUCUCUCCCGGCU
rfam:Myotis brandtii contig163579, whole genome shotgun sequence.